GCGACAGGCUUAACACAUGCAAGUCGAGGGGCAGCACAGGUAGCAAUACCGGGUGGCGACCGGCGCACGGGUGAGUAACGCGUAUGCAACUUGCCUAUCAGAGGGGGAUAACCCGGCGAAAGUCGGACUAAUACCGCAUGAAGCAGGGGCCCCGCAUGGGGAUAUUUACUAAAGAUUCAUCGCUGAUAGAUAGGCAUGCGUUCCAUUAGGCAGUUGGCGGGGUAACGGCCCACCAAACCGACGAUGGAUAGGGGUUCUGAGAGGAAGGUCCCCCACAUUGGUACUGAGACACGGACCAAACUCCUACGGGAGGCAGCAGUGAGGAAUAUUGGUCAAUGGCCGGGAGGCUGAACCAGCCAAGUCGCGUGAGGGAUGAAGGUUCUAUGGAUCGUAAACCUCUUUUAUAAGGGAAUAAAGUGCGGGACGUGUCCCGUUUUGUAUGUACCUUAUGAAUAAGGAUCGACUAACUCCGUGCCAGCAGCCGCGGUAAUACGGAGGAUCCGAGCGUUAUCCGGAUUUAUUGGGUUUAAAGGGUGCGUAGGCGGCCUUUUAAGUCAGCGGUGAAAGUCUGUGGCUCAACCAUAGAAUUGCCGUUGAAACUGGGGGGCUUGAGUAUGUUUGAGGCAGGCGGAAUGCGUGGUGUAGCGGUGAAAUGCAUAGAUAUCACGCAGAACCCCGAUUGCGAAGGCAGCCUGCCAAGCCAUGACUGACGCUGAUGCACGAAAGCGUGGGGAUCAAACAGGAUUAGAUACCCUGGUAGUCCACGCAGUAAACGAUGAUCACUAGCUGUUUGCGAUACACUGUAAGCGGCACAGCGAAAGCGUUAAGUGAUCCACCUGGGGAGUACGCCGGCAACGGUGAAACUCAAAGGAAUUGACGGGGGCCCGCACAAGCGGAGGAACAUGUGGUUUAAUUCGAUGAUACGCGAGGAACCUUACCCGGGUUUGAACGCAUUCGGACCGAGGUGGAAACACCUUUUCUAGCAAUAGCCGUUUGCGAGGUGCUGCAUGGUUGUCGUCAGCUCGUGCCGUGAGGUGUCGGCUUAAGUGCCAUAACGAGCGCAACCCUUGCCACUAGUUACUAACAGGUAAAGCUGAGGACUCUGGUGGGACUGCCAGCGUAAGCUGCGAGGAAGGCGGGGAUGACGUCAAAUCAGCACGGCCCUUACAUCCGGGGCGACACACGUGUUACAAUGGCGCGGACAAAGGGAGGCCACCUGGUGACAGGGAGCGAAUCCCCAAACCACGUCUCAGUUCGGAUCGGAGUCUGCAACCCGACUCCGUGAAGCUGGAUUCGCUAGUAAUCGCGCAUCAGCCAUGGCGCGGUGAAUACGUUCCCGGGCCUUGUACACACCGCCCGUCAAGCCAUGGGAGCCGGGGGUACCUGAAGUCCGUAACCGAAAGGAUCGGCCUAGGGUAAAACUGGUGACUGGGGCUAAGU
rnacentral:rRNA from 1 species